rfam:Caenorhabditis briggsae complete genome, chrX
GCUGAGGAAGACUGAAGGGAGCUUUCUUUUGACAGUUCGAUUUCGAACUCUUACUGUCAUGGAGGCGCUCUCUUCAGGUGAACUCUG